GUUGAGCGCUGAAGAUUGGUACUUGUACCGAUUGGAUGAGCAGCGAACGGGUGAGUAACGCGUGGGGAAUCUGCCUUUGAGCGGGGGACAACAUUUGGAAACGAAUGCUAAUACCGCAUAAUAGCUUUAAACAUAAGUUUUAAGUUUGAAAGAUGCAACUGCAUCACUCAAAGAUGAUCCCGCGUUGUAUUAGCUAGUUGGUGAGGUAAAGGCUCACCAAGGCGAUGAUACAUAGCCGACCUGAGAGGGUGAUCGGCCACAUUGGGACUGAGACACGGCCCAAACUCCUACGGGAGGCAGCAGUAGGGAAUCUUCGGCAAUGGACGAAAGUCUGACCGAGCAACGCCGCGUGAGUGAAGAAGGUUUUCGGAUCGUAAAACUCUGUUGUUAGAGAAGAACGACGAGGAGAGUGGAAAGCUCCUCGUGUGACGGUAUCUAACCAGAAAGGGACGGCUAACUACGUGCCAGCA
rnacentral:rRNA from 1 species